AUUGAACGCUGGCGGCAUGCCUUACACAUGCAAGUCGAACGGUAACGGGCCUUCGGGUGCCGACGAGUGGCGAACGGGUGAGUAAUACUUCGGAACGUGCCCGAUCGUGGGGGAUAACGAGGCGAAAGCUUUGCUAAUACCGCAUACGAUCUACGGAUGAAAGCAGGGGACCGCAAGGCCUUGCGCGGACGGAGCGGCCGAUGGCAGAUUAGGUAGUUGGUGGGAUAAAAGCUUACCAAGCCGACGAUCUGUAGCUGGUCUGAGAGGAUGAUCAGCCACACUGGGACUGAGACACGGCCCAGACUCCUACGGGAGGCAGCAGUGGGGAAUUUUGGACAAUGGGCGCAAGCCUGAUCCAGCCAUGCCGCGUGCAGGAUGAAGGCCUUCGGGUUGUAAACUGCUUUUGUACGGAACGAAAAGCCUUCUUUUAAUACAGGAGGGUCAUGACGGUACCGUAAGAAUAAGUACCGGCUAACUACGUG
rnacentral:rRNA from 1 species